GAAAGAGUCAGAAAGUAAAUUAGGUGUGGCAGAUACUGUAAUUCACAUUACUACAUCCAGAAAAGGUCCGCAAACGUGGGUUCACUCCGGGUUCCCCGGCUUCCUCCCACAGUACCAACACAUGCAGACCGGGGUUGAGUUAAUUGGAGACUUUUCCAAUUGACAAAGGGUGUGAUUGUGAGAGCACUGCGCCUCUUAACCAAAGUCAGCUGGGAUUGGGAUUGGAUGAGUUUUAAAAAUUAAAAUGUAGUAGUGCGGAUGUAGACAAAAAUUAAGAAGAAAUUAAGAUUAUGAGCUCCUUAUAUCUACAUCAGGAAAGCGUGUCCGCUUCCACCGAGUCCGAGUCCACCAUGUUGUACCGCCAGGUUUCUACGGUAGCCCAGAACAGACCUUCUACCUGAAGGGCACCGGAGGUUCUCCUAUACUUUUGGAAGGAGAAAGUGAGGUGACAGGUAUUCACCACUAGAUGCCACACAAUCCUACACACUGAACCUCAGCUUUUUCGGCACAGAGAACUAAUUUUAAGCGGGAAAAAUGUCACUGGCCUCCAAGCAGCCGAUAUGAACUGAGCGAUAACAAGACAGAAGUUACUCCCAGGAGGGAUAAAAUAAGUUCUAACUCCAACAAACUCAAUGUAAAACGAAAACAUAUUUUGAUGAUGACACACCAUUCAUUCAAUUUCCCUCGAAUUAAACACUUCUCCCCGCUGAGGCCAAAACGUUUUCACCACCAGACCUCUGAAGGGCAUCGACUCUCCGAAAUGGCUGCGCUGAAUGUGCAAUGACCGCGGCUGCUGCUGCGUAUGCAAACCGACCAAUCAGCAGGCGCUCAGCACGGCACACAAUUACGCCGGUUUGAUUUGCUCACUGGUGUUGCAGAAAAUGUAAUGGAUCUUGCAUCACCAUCUAUCUCAAUUAACACUUUGACUGAGGACGGCUAAAUUGGAUGUCACAUGCCGCCAUUAGAAGGCGCUUAGCUUUCAAACACUGCACAAACAGCCGCGGCUCGUGAGAUGGCAUGUGACAGUCGCAGGUCAAAGAUCGACCGCAUAUCUGGAGCAAAUAAUUACGUCUGAUUACAUUUCAUACACAACAUCUUUUCCCCGCCCCGUGAAUUAGAAGAUCAGUGGGCUUUCAGACGGCGUGGCACGCGGCUCAUCUUUGAUUGAUGAGGCCUUCUCCCUGUCACCGGCACGCACACGUCAUAAAAUCUAACCGUUUCUGAUGCAGACCCAGAUACAUAACAUCUGCUUGAAGCUUCAGUGCUGCGGCUAAUCUCUCACACUCUUAUUGUGCGAUUUACUCUCGGUCUUCCUCUCUGCUCCACCAUCCUCCUCUUCUCCCUGUUCCCCACCUCUCCUUCUCUCUCUGGUGGCCCGUGAGCCCCGAGGUUUGGAGGUCUGGAUAACCAGCCAUGUCUAAUAGUACACAGCCCACUCAUACUGCAGGGUGGGCAACUUCAAAAGAACAUCACCAGCACCCCAGAGAUCUCCAGUCUCAGCCACGCUGGUCUCAGAGCUCUGCCUCUGCUGAAUCACUAUCAAACAGCCCAGCGAGCCUUCGGAGCCUCGCGAGUGAUGCAACCGAGAUACAAGCAGGCGCGUGUGCCUGGUGUGUCACCGUGUAACAGGAGCGAUGCUUCCCUUUGACCAGCUCGUCCCACAGGACGAUGUCGGCGGAAUCCGAGUCCGUCCUCGGACCAAGUCUCUCAAACAGAGAGAUCUCAACCGAGGCACGUGACACCGAUGAUUCAUCGUUGGACUGAUCCGCGUUCAUCCGGUUGCACCUUGUGCACGUUGUGCAGCAGCACUACGUCGGUGGCCCAGAGGUCUUUGGGCGCGACUGUGCUGUUUUGCAGUCGGUGUGUGUGCGUGAGGGACAUGUCCUCUCCGUCCCGCAGCCCAACGGUUCCUCCUUUGCUCAGGGUCAGAUACUGGCCCGAACUCUGCAGGUACAACACCUGAGGAGACCAGAGGACGUUAGAGAACAACAAUGUAUUUUGCACUAUCGAGAAGAAAAAGAAAAAAAAAAGACCCCAGAACAGCUUCAACGCUCUUUGUAAAGCAGUUUGUGACAUUUUUAGUGUAAAGUCAAACGGAGACUUUCAUCUAUCUUGUGUCUUCCUCUCCCUCCCGGCUGCUCUUUUGCCAUAAAACUAUAUACACUACAAUAACUCCUCCUCCUCCUCCUCCCUCAAUAUUAUUUUAGGUGAAUAGACAUUAGCAGGCCACGUUCAGAACAAAACAGAACGCUGUAGAAACUAGGCCAGAGCUGACGGUGUCAGGUGACAAGUAGAUGGCUGAUGUCUUUGACGAAAAGAUAGGGUGGGGGAAUAUUACAUAGAACCGAGAUCAAGUUUUAGAAAAAAAAAACGUAUCCAAUGUAAUAACUGCAGACGGAGUCAUUUUCCCACAGUCACCUGCAAGCUUUGUACGAUCUCUCUUGAAUUGUUGCGUCGACUGUCAGUGACUGAUACGAUAAGUUUCUGUUGUGUAUUUCUACACCUGCUGUAAAAAAAAAUCUCACUGACGUCUCUUUAUUAAUUGUCAAAUGCUAACAAACUGUCAGAUGCUCAAAAUAUACAAUGGGAGCAGUAGAUCCCCAAAUAGCUCACAACAUGGAAGCCGGAGUGUAUAUUUCAGCUAUUCAGGAAGAACAAUGAAGCAAACUCAGCGUGUGGAGAACCGAAACCAGCAAACUGGAGGUGGGGCAAGACUCCGUGACAGAAAAGGAACAAGCCGUGACAAAAUGUUGACAUUGAAUCGCAUUUUUUUAAAGCCGCUAUGACUAACGUGUAAGAUAAUUGUUUGUUAAAAAUUUGGCCAAACACAGAGAAAUGA